CCAAAUAAGGAAUCCUUACUGAAGAUGAUCGCGCAACAAGGACUGGAGAAUGGGCUCAACUCCCAGUGAAACGGAGACCUCCGGGGAUUUAUAGCCAAAGCUCAGGGGAGUGGGAGGAAGGUGGAAAAUUACCAAGAAGAGUCAUCCAGUGUGGGAGGCGCUUGCUCAACUGCGCUGCUACGAUUUGGAUGCUCCCAAGGUUGAAGUUAACGGGUUUGUUCCUCAGUCCCUGACGCUGCUGGAGCCAGGGAACCCCUCAGGGUACAGGGCCAGGUUAGAGAAAGCUAGGUCACUGGAGCUGAGCCCUGAGGGGACUGGGGACCCAGGACUCUGCCUUCCUUUGCUUCCCAGCUGCCAUGAGGGGCUCGUCUUUUCCCAUGUGUGGCAAUGUCACGGGGUCUAAAGAUAAGAAGCCAGGAGAGCAAGAGCUGUGCCUCUGACCCCAAGAGUCAAAAUAACCCUUUCGCCUCUGUUUACGCCCGGUUCUCGGUGCCCUGUCGGUGUGGGCAUAGACAGUUUUGUGGGAAAUGCGUCCUGUAGAAGACAAAAUGCCAGCUGCAAACCACGACCCUAAGAAGACGAACCGCAGACCUGGAUUGGGAUGACACUAACCACUGGGGUAAACUGCCCCGUGCCUUGACUGCAAACUGUGGCUACUGUCGGAUUGACUGCCCAACUCUGCCUGAGUCAACGUAGGCCAAUUUUCUCAGGUGCCUCAUACACGGGAACAUUUCUCACACCUUCUGGGUCUGGCAGCCAAGCCUAUGCUGUUCUGUGUCACAAAUGAAGACCUCUGCCCCACCAUGAAGGCAUGGAGACCGUGGAAGUCUAUUAGGUGACUCUGCAGGUAGCUGGUAAGUCUCCAUCAUUUUAAUUGAUACAGAGGCCGUUUGGUUUAUUUUUUUCUAGCUGUAAUUUGUUCCUUUUAGAUCUCCGGUGGUGUUGAGAGCUAGGUGGCUUUGUAAGUUUGGCAGCAGAGGACAAACCAGCUGCUUCCCUGAAGGCUGGAGCAACCUUAUUAGUUCACCUCAUAUGUAAAAGUCAGGCCUUGCCUAUUCUAGAGCGUUCUCCUGCUGAGAAAGACGGGCAGGCUUGCCCUGCUAAUCGGCCUCACAUGAAAGGAUAAACAGGUAUCCUAGUUGCAGAGACUGCUCUAGAUAAUCAAGCUUGGAGUCUCACAAUUAACAAACGGGUGAAAAGAUUCUAAGCUUAUGUAAGUUCCGAGGGUCUAGUAAAGUGCUUCAAGGGUGUAAAGACAAGUUGUAAAGGUGCAAGAAAGUCGUUGAAGGUAAUAAAAAAAUGUUUCAGAUUUCUU
rnacentral:sRNA from 1 species